rnacentral:rRNA from 1 species
UACGAAGGGGGCUAGCGUUGCUCGGAAUCACUGGGCGUAAAGGGUGCGUAGGCGGGUCUUUUAAGUCAGGGGUGAAAUCCUGGAGCUCAACUCCAGAACUGCCUUUGAUACUGAGGAUCUUGAGUUCGGGAGAGGUGAGUGGAACUGCGAGUGUAGAGGUGAAAUUCGUAGAUAGUUGGGAAGAACACCGGUGGCGAAGGCGGCUAUCUGGACCGACAUUGACGCUGAUGCGCGAAAGCGUGGGGAGCAAACAGG